rnacentral:tRNA from 2 species
CACAGAGAAGCUUUAAAAAGCACUAGCCUUUUAAGCUAGAGAUGGAGGCAUAAUGCCCCCUCCGUGG